CUUAGCGUUGCUAGCAAAUCAUAAACGUACAGACUAAUACAGUUUGAGCUUUAAUAAGCAUUGAGAUGCAACUGUCAUUUCUAUCAUUGGCUUUUGCCAUAAUCUUUAUUGUGGCAAUUAUACACGCACCUGAAGCGGAAGCAGAGGCCAUCUCCGAACCUGGUGUACCUUGUCUGAUAAAUUGCAAAAAAUAAAUUCUUGAAUUUUCCAAACCUUGAAUUUUUAUGUUUAAGGAAUUUACGAAAUGCGUACUCGACAUGGCAAAUGAAAUAGCUGCAUUUUUCAUGGAAUGAAAUUUCGAUGAAAUAACGAAGCAAUUGAAAAAAAUUUUGCAAUAAAAUUGUGACAUUACAAGAAAUGCAUAAAUGUUAUUAUAUAUUUUUUCAAACAAAAAUGUGAAUUAUAUUUGUAUGUCUCUAUUGUAUUCGUUUAUAAUUCGCAAUAAUAAAUAAAUAUAAAGUUUGUCAUCAGCA